AUUGAACGCUGGCGGCAGGCCUAACACAUGCAAGUCGAGCGGAUGAAGGGAGCUUGCUCCUGGAUUCAGCGGCGGACGGGUGAGUAAUGCCUAGGAAUCUGCCUGGUAGUGGGGGAUAACGUCCGGAAACGGGCGCUAAUACCGCAUACGUCCUGAGGGAGAAAGUGGGGGAUCUUCGGACCUCACGCUAUCAGAUGAGCCUAGGUCGGAUUAGCUAGUUGGUGGGGUAAAGGCCUGCCAAGGCGACGAUCCGUAACUGGUCUGAGAGGAUGAUCAGUCACACUGGAACUGAGACACGGUCCAGACUCCUACGGGAGGCAGCAGUGGGGAAUAUUGGACAAUGGGCGAAAGCCUGAUCCAGCCAUGCCGCGUGUGUGAAGAAGGUCUUCGGAUUGUAAAGCACUUUAAGUUGGGAGGAGGGGCAGUAAGUUAAUACCUUGCUGUUUUGACGUUACCAACAGAAUAAGCACCGGCUAACUUCGUG
rnacentral:rRNA from 1 species